rnacentral:rRNA from 1 species
ACGGGAGGCAGCAGUGGGGGAUAUUGGACAAUGGGGGAAACCCUGAUCCAGCGACGCCGCGUGAGUGAAGAAGUAUUUCGGUAUGUAAAGCUCUAUCAGCAGGGAAGAAAAAGCGCAAGCAUUGGCUGUACCUGACUAAGAAGCCCCGGCUAACUACGUGCCAGCAGCCGCGGUAAUACGUAGGGGGCAAGCGUUAUCCGGAUUUACUGGGUGUAAAGGGAGCGCAGGCGGCAGGGCAAGUCUGAUGUGAAAACCCGGGGCUUAACUUCGGGACUGCAUUGGAAACUGCUCAGCUUGAGUGUCGGAGAGGUAAGUGGAAUUCCUAGUGUAGCGGUGAAAUGCGUAGAUAUUAGGAGGAACACCAGUGGCGAAGGCGGCUUACUGGACGACAACUGACGCUGAGGCUCGAAAGCGUGGGGAGCAAACAGGAUUAGAUACCCUGGUA